GGCUUCAUGAAUCUCAUCUGCAAGAAGAUGAAUCCACUGUGGUUCCUCCUCUUCCUGGUGUCAGCUCCCAGAGGUGUCCUGUCCCAGGUGCAGCUGCAGGAGUCGGGACCCAGCCUGGUGAAGCCCUCACAGACCCUCUCCCUCACCUGCACUGUCUCUGGAUUCUCAUUAAGCAGCUAUGCUGUAUCCUGGGUCCGACAGGCUCCAGGAAAGGGGCUGGAGUCGGUUGGUGUAAUUAGCAGUGGUGGAAGUGCAUAUUAUAACCCAACUCUUAAGUCCCGGCUCAGCAUCACCAGGGACACGUCCAAGAGCCAAGUCUAUUUAUCCCUGAGCAGCCUGACAACUGAAGACACAGCCGUGUAUUACUGUGCAAGAGACACAGUGAGGGGAAGUCAGUGUGUCCUGUCCCAGGUGGUGGUGCAAGUGUUGGGCCCAGGACUAUUGAAGAUCUUCUACCUCACCGGACCUAUUUCUGGAUUCUCCAUCAUAAACAGUGCUGACUGCUGGGACUGGAUCCCUCAGCCCCCAGGGAAAGGGCUGGAGUGA